UACAAGACUGGGAAAGAUGAGCUUACGGUGCUUCUCCAGGACACCAAGCUACAUGGAAGGGGGAAUGAGGACAAGUUGAAGCAGUCUUGCCGGUAUGUUACUUGAAGAACAGAACUCUGAGAGGCUAGCCUGGUAUAUCUUGUUUCUUAUGUCGAGCAAUAGUUUCAUGCAAGUCUGUUGUGUGUGUGAGAGAGAGAAAUAUGUGCAUUGGAUGCUGAAGUUUGAUUGAACUUGUGGGUAUCCUUGACUGAAUGUUAAUUAUUUGCACGUGCCAAGUUAAAUGCUGAUCCAUUACUAGUA